rnacentral:lncRNA from 1 species
CUGUUCAAAGAUGCUGCUUUUUGAGCUUCAGAAGACUGAAAAGAGAGGUUUGUGUCUGGUGCUAAACCAAACCCAUUUUGUUGUACAGUUUUACCAUCGUUCUGGCUCACGUCUGCAUAGCUUUUGCUAAUGCAGGGUUGCUGUCUUAACGUUUCUUCCUCUUUUGUUUGAUAGGCUGAAGAGCUUACUUUCUGGAAGUUCUCUGACACAGUGACUUCCCUUUGUUCCUCUGCAUGCAUGGUGCGUGCCUUCAUCUCCUCUUGCUCAGCUGUAAUCUGAUCCAUCCUCUGCCGUCUCCUGGCAAACAUGAGGGCCCCUUUACCUGUUGUCUCUGGAAGCGUCUGCAUCUCGUCUCCACUUUUCGUCUUCUUUUCAACCUCAAGUAGACCGCUGUCCCAAUCAAAUGUCACAAUCUUCUUGUCGUUGUCAAUGUCAGAGAAGAAAUCUUCAUCUAUUUCUGACUCACUUGUUGCAAGCAAACUCACUUCAAAAGUAUUUUCUUUGUCCCCCUCUUCAACUUCACCUUCUUCUCCUUCGUCUUCGUCACGUUCGAGCUCCCCAGUCCCGUAGCUGACUAAAGUAUACUUCCUCGCCCUUUGACGACGCUUCUUGAACAUUAACACCCCCUUGGAAUUGGGAUUGGGAGCUGCCGUCAGCAGCAAUGCAAUACUUUUACAUUUAGAUUUGGCUUCUUUGACCUGCUUCUCUGACAGGCUCUCACUUCGCCGGAGUCUUGCGUGCCUUGCCCUGUGCUUGAGAGGUCUGUGAUCCCUUUCUGAGUGCUGGUUGUCCUCUCCCUGCUCAGUGCCUUCUGAUGAGAUUGCAAAGGAGGGCAGAGAAGGAGGUGCUUCUGACUGCCCUCCUUCCACUUGAGAAUCAACACACCCCCUUUCAGCUAGAGACGUGGGUCCUUCUUUUUCCCUGUCUGAACAGGCUAGGAUCACCUCCACCCUGGGGAUGGAUGGAGCUGCACUUUGGAUCCUCUUGACCUCUUUGCUACUAGAAAACUGGACUACUUUGCUUGACCACUGGAUGUUGCCCUCUUUCACACUCAGGGGAAUUGCAAUUACAGGGCUGGUCCCGUCUUCUUGUACACUCGGUCCUCUUCCUGAAGGGGUGCAUUUUUCUGCCCC